GACCAUGCUGCUAUGAGUGUCCUGACCCAACUUUCGUGUUGUCAGUACAAAAGCUCCGCAAGGACAGCGAGUGCAUCAGUCUGCUGCCAGCUGCUUCCUGAAAUAAAGUCAGAAACACCAACCUUCCUCUUCUUCCCGGUGCCGUGGCAGUGCCGUCCCCGGCCUGUGCAGACAACUUCAAACCCCAGUUAUGACUCAGGACAACUCGUCCGGCUGGGUCCCCUCACCCAGCACAAAGCUGGGCUUUCAGUGGGCCCCUCACAAAUAUAUGUCAAAUGAAGAAAGGCAUUUCCUGGGAGGCUAUUUUUUGACAGGCAGCUCUGAAUCCAGUAAUCACAUAUUCUGAAAAUGACCAUUUUUUGUUUGAAGUUGUCUUAGGAAUUACAGAAGACACUGAAAAGGUUCUGCUCCUGAUUUGAACAUGUGCCCCUUUGAGACCCUAAAUCCGAGAGGCAGGCCCUGACCGGUUGUGGCCACGUUCCCUUCUGGGGGCCUGUGUUUGGAGGAGAGGUGAGCCCUGACCGGCUGUGGCUACGUUCCCUUCUGGGGGCCUGUGUUUGGAGGAGAGGUGAGCCCUGACCGGCUGUGGCCACGUUCCCUUCUGGGGGCCUGUGUUUGGAGGAGAGGUGAGCCCUGACCGGCUGUGGCCACGUUCCCUUCUGGGGGCCUGUGUUUGGAGGAGAGGUGAGCCCUGACCGGCUGUGGCCACAUUCCCUUUAGGAGCCUGUGUUUGGAGGGGAGCCUUUGAGCAUCACUUAGAGCAUCGCCCCCUAAACUCUGGUGUGACCUCUGGGCCUCCCGUAAAGGUGCGCAUCGUGACCCAGGAGGUCUGGGUGAGGCCUGAGGGCCUGCCUCUCACAGGCUCCCGGGGCAGUGCUCCCACGAGGCUCUAUGGGAGGGUCCUGUCCUUGCCUUUCAAGCUUCUUGGGGCUGUGCUCCCAACUUGCACUGUGGCCCCGAGUCACGUAUGCUUUCUCCUCUUCCAGUCUCUCUGUUCCUCCCUCUGACAGUGAUGGCUGUGACCGCACUGAGAGCUCACCAGCAAUCCAGGGUUACCUCAUUUCAAGACUAAUCACGUCUGCAGAGCCCCCUUUGCCAUCUAAGCUCAUGCUCAUGGAUGCUAGGGACUGGGACCUGGCUGGCUCUGGGUGCCAUUAUUCAGCUUGCUACAGCUGCCCGCAGGUAGG
ensembl:lncRNA